CCUACGGGGGGCAGCAGUGGGGAAUAUUGGGCAAUGGGCGCAAGCCUGACCCAGCAACGCCGCGUGAAGGAAGAAGGCUUUCGGGUUGUAAACUUCUUUUCUCAGGGACGAAGAAAGUGACGGUACCUGAUGAAUAAGCCACGGCUAACUACGUGCCAGCAGCCGCGGUAAUACGUAGGUGGCAAGCGUUAUCCGGAUUUACUGGGUGUAAAGGGCGUGUAGGCGGGACAGCAAGUCAGAUGUGAAAACCAUGGGCUCAACCUGUGGCCUGCAUUUGAAACUGUUUUUCUUGAGUACUGGAGAGGCAGAUGGAAUUCCUCGUGUAGCGGUGAAAUGCGUAGAUAUGAGGAGGAACACCAGUGGCGAAGGCGGUCUGCUGGACAGCAACUGACGCUGAGGCGCGAAAGCGUGGGGAGCAAACAGGAUUAGAUACCCGGGUAGUC
rnacentral:rRNA from 1 species